GAGUAAUGUCUGGGAAACUGCCUGAUGGAGGGGGAUAACUACUGGAAACGGUAGCUAAUACCGCAUAACGUCGCAAGACCAAAGAGGGGGACCUUCGGGCCUCUUGCCAUCGGAUGUGCCCAGAUGGGAUUAGCUUGUUGGUGGGGUAACGGCUCACCUAGGCGACGAUCCCUAGCUGGUCUGAGAGGAUGACCAGCCACACUGGAACUGAGACACGGUCCAGACUCCUACGGGAGGCAGCAGUGGGGAAUAUUGCACAAUGGGCGCAAGCCUGAUGCAGCCAUGCCGCGUGUAUGAAGAAGGCCUUCGGGUUGUAAAGUACUUUCAGCGGGGAGGAAGGGAGUAAAGUUAAUACCUUUGCUCAUUGACGUUACCCGCAGAAGAAGCACCGGCUAACUCCGUGCCAGCAGCCGCGGUAAUACGGAGGGUGCGAGCGUUAAUCGGAAUUACUGGGCGUAAAGCGCACGCAGGCGGUUUUGUUAAGUCAGAUGUGAAAUCCCCGGGCUCAACCUGGGAACUGCAUCUGAUACUGGCAAGCUUGAGUCUCGUAGAGGGGGGUAGAAUUCCAGGUGUAGCGGUGAAAUGCGUAGAGAUCUGGAGGAAUACCGGUGGCGAAGGCGGCCCCCUGGACGAAGACUGACGCUCAGGUGCGAAAGCGUGGGGAGCAAACAGGAUUAGAUACCCUGGUAGUCCACGCCGUAAACGAUGUCGACUUGGAGGUUGUGCCCUUGAGGCGUGGCUUCCGGAGCUAACGCGUUAAGUCGACCGCCUGGGGAGUACGGCCGCAAGGUUAAAACUCAAAUGAAUUGACGGGGGCCCGCACAAGCGGUGGAGCAUGUGGUUUAAUUCGAUGCAACGCGAAGAACCUUACCUGGUCUUGACAUCCACGGAAGUUUUCAGAGAUGRGAAUGUGCCUUCGGGAACCGUGAGACAGGUGCUGCAUGGCUGUCGUCAGCUCGUGUUGUGAAAUGUUGGGUUAAGUCCCGCAACGAGCGCAACCCUUAUCCUUUGUUGCCAGCGGUCCGGCCGGGAACUCAAAGGAGACUGCCAGUGAUAAACUGGAGGAAGGUGGGGAUGACGUCAAGUCAUCAUGGCCCUUACGACCAGGGCUACACACGUGCUACAAUGGCGCAUACAAAGAGAAGCGACCUCGCGAGAGCAAGCGGACCUCAUAAAGUGCGUCGUAGUCCGGAUUGGAGUCUGCAACUCGACUCCA
rnacentral:rRNA from 1 species